rnacentral:rRNA from 1 species
GAUGAACGCUGGCGGCGUGCCUAAUACAUGCAAGUCGAGCGAACAGAUAAGGAGCUUGCUCCUUUGACGUUAGCGGCGGACGGGUGAGUAACACGUGGGUAACCUACCUAUAAGACUGGGAUAACUUCGGGAAACCGGAGCUAAUACCGGAUAAUAUUUCGAACCGCAUGGUUCGAUAGUGAAAGAUGGUUUUGCUAUCACUUAUAGAUGGACCCGCGCCGUAUUAGCUAGUUGGUAAGGUAACGGCUUACCAAGGCGACGAUACGUAGCCGACCUGAGAGGGUGAUCGGCCACACUGGAACUGAGACACGGUCCAGACUCCUACGGGAGGCAGCAGUAGGGAAUCUUCCGCAAUGGGCGAAAGCCUGACGGAGCAACGCCGCGUGAGUGAUGAAGGUCUUCGGAUCGUAAAACUCUGUUAUUAGGGGAGAACAUACGUGUAAGUAACUGUGCACGUCUUGACGGUACCUAAUCAGAAAGCCACGGCUAACUACGUG